GAUGAGGACAUUUUUAUCUUUUUAUCUAUUUUAUUUUGUAACGCCCCGUUUUUUUUUUAAGAGCAUAGUCUAAGACAAUUCCCCGACCACACACGAAAGUGUCAUUCCAAAUCCACCACAAACAUAGAAACCUUACCGCGAAUCUAUUACUCAAAAUCACAAUAAACCUGCAACCCUACAUGAAAUAUCACAGUGAAGAAUAAUUUCACAAACUUCCAGUAGACCCACUAUCUACACUACUACUAGUUAUUACACACUCAAUCAUGCCAAAUGACAAAAACAUUAUUGCUCGGUUCCUCUAUCUAGUAGGCUCGAAAAUCAGCAACUCCGAUCCCGACUCCAUCCCUACCCCAUCUGUAAAUGAUAUGGAGUGAGUAUAUACAACUCAGUACAGUAAAAAUUAAAUUACAGGCAUCAUACACAACAAUAGGAAACUCAAAGAGUCCUAUAUGUACUUCACCUACUUAACCUAAUAUCUACCCUUGGUAAUUUAAAAGAUAAUGCAUGUUAAUUGUGACUGCCCCUCGAUGUCCUCUAACUGUACAAACACACUCACUCGUCACCAGUAUUGGCGAUCACCAAUAAACCGCCUAUCUCUCGACCCCUAAUAGGCCACACACACACAAAGAUACCAUUCCCACCCGUCACCAGUAUCGGCGACCACUAAUAAACCGCCGAUCCCUCGACCCCUAAUAGGCCAUGCACACACACAAA
rnacentral:lncRNA from 1 species